CAGUAAUGACAGAGUCGUUGAGGAAAAGCUGAUCUUUACCACAGUGGAUCUGUAGGCCUCCGUGUUUAAAGUCUGCUGUAAUAAAUGGCCAAGAUCCCAUGUCAGAUUUUAACAUGCUCAUAAUUGCUUUGUGGCACCUUUGAAAAAGGAAGUAGCAGUUCUUCUUUGGCGGGGCUCCUUGAAAGAGGAAUCAACUCUAUCUGCAAUAGAAUCAUUAAGGUUGGAAAAGACCUUCAAGAUCAUCUGGAAUAGCAUUCUGUGCUCUGCCUCGUAAUGAGAAGACGUGACUGAACCAAGUGAAUACUGGUUGAGGUGCAGUGUCGUAUGUGUGCCUUGCCUAGGGAACUGAGGUUUGUAGGAAGGAGAACAAAGGAAAAUCAAACUACUGCUGUGGUUACCAUCUGAGGUUUGUAUGAGAAUUGAAAUAACUUGUUGCUGGAACGGCUAGGCUUGUGUGUCUUCAUAGCCAUGCAUACGUGCAUGCACUCUGAUAAAAUAGUAAUAAAAGUUUAUAUAUUACACA
rnacentral:lncRNA from 1 species